GAUGAACGCUAGCUACAGGCUUAACACAUGCAAGUCGAGGGGUAACGAGAGGGAAGCUUGCUUUCCUUGUCGACGACCGGCGCACGGGUGAGUAACGCGUAUCCAACCUGCCCCCAACUAGGGAAUAACCUUGCGAAAGUAAGACUAAUACCCUAUAAUUUCCUCAGAUGUCAUCUGACGAGGAAUAAAGAUUUAUCGGUUGUGGAUGGGGAUGCGUCUGAUAGCUUGUUGGCGGAGUAACGGCCCACCAAGGCAACGAUCAGUAGGGGUUCUGAGAGGAAGGUCCCCCACAUUGGAACUGAGACACGGUCCAAACUCCUACGGGAGGCAGCAGUGAGGAAUAUUGGUCAAUGGGCGGAAGCCUGAACCAGCCAAGUAGCGUGCAGGAUGACGGCCCUAUGGGUUGUAAACUGCUUUUAUACAGGAAUAAAGUUAGCCACGUGUGGUUAUUUGUAGGUACUGUAUGAAUAAGGACCGGCUAAUUCCGUGCCAGCAGCCGCCGUAA
rnacentral:rRNA from 1 species